GGUUGUGGCUCAGUGGUAGAGCGCUCGCCUAGCACGUGAGCGGGCCUGGGUUCGAUUCUCAGCACUA
rnacentral:tRNA from 1 species